rnacentral:rRNA from 1 species
GACGAACGCUGGCGGCGUGCCUAAUACAUGCAAGUAGAACGCACAGUUUAUACCGUAGCUUGCUACACCAUAGACUGUGAGUUGCGAACGGGUGAGUAACGCGUAGGUAACCUGCCUGGUAGCGGGGGAUAACUAUUGGAAACGAUAGCUAAUACCGCAUAAUAUUGAUUAUUGCAUGAUAAUUAAUUGAAAGGUGCAAUUGCACCACUACCAGAUGGACCUGCGUUGUAUUAGCUAGUAGGUGAGGUAACGGCUCACCUAGGCGACGAUACAUAGCCGACCUGGGAGGGUGAUCGGCCACACUGGGACUGAGACACGGCCCAGACUCCUACGGGGGGCAGCAGUAGGGAAUCUUCGGCAAUGGACGAAAGUCUGACUGAGCAACGCCGCGUGAGGGAAGAAGGUUUUCGGAUCGUAAAGCUCUGUUGUAAGAGAAGAACGGGUGUGAGAGUGGAAAGUUCACACUGUGACGGUAUCUUACCAGAAAGGGACGGCUAACUACGUG